rnacentral:sRNA from 1 species
GCAGAGAACCUUGUCUAUCACUCCAAUGAGCAGCAGGGUUGAUUUACCUAAUCUAGCUGGCUAAGUUGGUCUCCCAUUUCUCUCUCAUGGCUCCAUGUGUAUCCCACUUGAAGUUGUAUACUUAGAUAAUUGCACUACUCUAUUUUCAGUCAACGUACACACUUAAUGUAUAUUUUUCAGGGAAAAUCACAGUAAGAAAUAGAAAUCAUGAUUGCCUGCAAUCACCAUGAAUUU